UGAUGUGUGUUAAUUCGAUGCAACGCGAAAACUUACCCACCUUUGACAUGUACGGAAGUCGCUAGAGAUAGCUUCGUGCUCGAAAGAGAGCCGUAACACAGGUGCUGCAUGGCUGUCGUCAGCUCGUGUCGUGAGAUGUUGGGUUAAGUCCCGCAACGAGCGCAACCCUUGUCAUUAGUUGCUACAUUCAGUUGGGCACUCUAAUGAGACUGCCGGUGACAAACCGGAGGAAGGUGGGGAUGACGUCAAGUCCUCAUGGCCCUUAUAGGUGGGGCUACACACGUCAUACAAUGGCUGGUACAAAGGGUUGCCAACCCGCGAGGGGGAGCUAAUCCCAUAAAACCAGUCGUAGUCCGGAUCGCAGUCUGCAACUCGACUGCGUGGAGUCGGAAUCGCUAGUAAUCGUGGAUCAGAAUGUCACGGUGAAUACGUUCCCGGGUCUUGUACACACCGCCCGUCACACCAUGGGAGCGGGUCUCGCCAGAAGUAGUUAGCCUAACCGCAAGGAGGGCGAUUACCACGGCGGGGUUCGUGACUGGGGUGAAGUCGUAACCAAGGUAUCCGUA
rnacentral:rRNA from 1 species